rnacentral:miRNA from 1 species
CCUAUUAGGUUGGUGCAAAAGUAAUUGCGGCUUUUGUCAUUGAAAUAGCAAAACCCACAAUACUUUUGUACCAACCU